CACGUAGGGGGCGAGCGUUGUCCGGAUUUAUUGGGCGUAAAGGGCUCGUAGGCGGCUCAGUAAGUCGGGUGGGAAACCUCCAGGCUCAACCUGGAGACGCCACUCGAUACUGCUGUGGCUAGAGUCCGGUAGGGGAGCAUGGAAUUCCUGGUGUAGCGGUGAAAUGCGCAGAUAUCAGGAGGAACACCGGUGGCGAAGGCGGGUCUCUGGGCCGAAAUUGACGCUGAGGAGCGAAAGCGUGGGGAGCGAACAGG
rnacentral:rRNA from 1 species